CCGGAGGCCCCCCUCUCCCUUUCCGGCGCAUCGUCGCGUUUGUUCAUGUACCGCCGCGUGUAGGACGUACUAACGAACUUUCUCUUUACGUUCUCGCGGCUGUCACAACCUCGUGGUUUUUGGCGUUGCCUUAUAAGCCGUUCCCUCCAUUCGUUCCUUGCGGGAAGCGACGUCUAAAGCAAUCGCAGCCUCGUGGUUUUUGGCGUGGCCUGUUCGGCUGUAUCGCGCCGUUCCCUCCGUUCGUUCCUGGCGGAGCGACGUCCAAAGGUAUGUGAACACUACUUUAUUGCUUCAAAGAAACAUCGAAAGGCAUAAAAAGAAGGAUGGAGCUUUUUGAAAUCUGUACUCCAAAGAACAUGUUGGAUACGCUACAAAGUGCUACUGGUCCCCGCUCUGCAUUGCCGUCGGUAGUGUCUGCGGUGCUGCAUGAGGACCGAGUGUGAGUGCGUCCUUUUGAAUAACUCUUGUAUUUAAAAUCCAAUACAUUUGGCGUGUCUUUAAAAGUUCGAAUUCCAAACGUGCUUACCUGAAACUGGUCAUACAAACAUUUUUGAGUCUAGAGUAUUAUGUUUUUUUCUCUUAUUCGUCAAUUCUGAAGCCGUGAAAUCUUAAAAACAACAAGAACGGCUACCAUGCAUAUUUUCGUUGCCGUCGGCUCCGGUAAUGUAGUACUGAAUGCAAAAAAGAAGCCUCCUCUAUCCUACAAGAGGCUGGUGUCCAGCAAAAUAAUCGCGUUAAAUAAUGAUUUGAACGAGGCGUUUGAAAAAUUGUGCAUUUCUCGAAACAAUCAGUGCCUUCUUUUUGCAAAUCUGGAUAGCUCGCCGAGUGAAUUCCUGUGCCCCUUGUAAAUCGCGAGCGAUCUGUGUGUUGCGCUUGUAGAUCGGGAGACGAACUGAUGUGCCCAAGGAGGUGGAGCGCGUAGAGCGGUUGGAAGAAAUUCGCUGCGUAGUGGUUCCGCAUAGGUAAUAUACAUACGGUUGACGUAUGUUUAUUCACUCGCGACAUUUCGGUUUCGAUGUUUAUGCCGCCGUGUUCGUCACAGCCGCGACAGCGACCGUAUCCAUUUCGCUAGCAGUACUGUUGAUGUCAUGUUAUCAGGUGGGUGCAUUUAUAUUACACGAGCCAUACGAACGUGCUCACGGUGCCCACCGUGCCACCCAAGUUUGGUGCCGACGCUCUCGCCUAAUAAUCGAAGUUGAAAUCGGAAUCCACUAAUAGGUACUUGGGAGGGUACGAGUUUCGUCAUUAUUCCGUGGGGAGGGUAACAAUUCGUUUAUUAGCUAAGGCAGCAGAACCGUAAGUUAUGUACCGUAUGUCGGAUCACGACGCGACGUCAUCGCCCGAGAUGGUUUCCGUGCAGCCCGUGAAGCAUCGCCGGAGAGCUCGGCAGUGGCAGCGGCUGCCAGAGGACAGAGCAAACUCGUUUGCUGCAGCAUGUGCCGCUGAGCUCGCUCGCGGAGGCUGGGCGCUCGAAGCUGCGAUUCUGCGAGCGCUCUCGGUUCGCAAGGGGAAGGGGCUAUAAAGCGGACGAACGGUUGUUUUUCCCAUUUCGUUCUGCGGACGCCCAAACGGAUAAGCAAGACGAAAAAAAAAAAAAUAAAAACAGGUGCAACCUUUUUUUGUGUGUGUAAUGUAGAUCUUUCAUAAAUAAACGUUUCUUCAUUUGAAAAUAUUUGUUAAUCUGGGUAAUCGGUAAUUUAAUUUGUAAAAAUAAAUCCUUAUCGCAAUUAUAUCGUUCAUUGCCAGCUGCAAAUUUUGCCAGCGUGCCAAACUUGCCGGCUUUUACGGUCGCACCGAGUACAUUUAUGCAGACGGUAAAUUCGAAAAGGUUUCCGUUACCUGGUCCAUGCAAAUUCAAGCGUGUACAUAGUAUUAAUUUGUUUUUCGUAACUUUUUUUUUUUCCCCAAACAUAUAUCACUGUUUUGUGUGGCUAUGUGACCCUGUGUUAUGUUGUGGCGGAAAACCUACAGAAGGGCUCUUUAUGUCCCUCUGUCCGGUGGUGGUUGCAAGCGAGGCCUGCACCGUUAUUGCCAUCACCAUAGUCUGAAGCAGGGCUCUGCCUGGCUCUGCGUCCCUCUGUCCACUGGUGGUCGCAAUCGAGGCCUGCACCGUAAUUGCCAUCACCAUAGUCUGAAGACCUACAGCAGGGCUCUGCCUGGCGCUGCGUCCCUCUGUCCAGUGGUGGUUGCAAGCGAGGCCUGCACCAUAAUUGCCAUCACCAUAGUCUGAAGACCUACAGCAGGGCUCUGCCUGGCUCUGCGUCCCUCUGUCCAGUGGUGGUUGCAAGCGAGGCCUCCACCGUAAUUGCCAUCACCAUAGUCUGAAGACCUACAGCAGGGCUCUGCCUGGCGCUGCGUCCCUCUGUCCAGUGGUGGUUGCAAGCGAGGCCUGCACCGUAAUUGCCAUCACCAUAGUCUGAAGACCUACAGCAGGGCUCUGCCUGGCUCUGCGUCCCUCUGUCCAGUGGUGGUUGCAAGCGAGGCCUCCACCGUAAUUGCCAUCACCAUAGUCUGAAGGUUUUCUGCACGUAAAGCGCAAGAUGGAGCAUGGACAAGUUUUUUUUGUUUUUUUAAUCGUCCAAGGCAUGGAGUUUUACUGAAGUUGAGCUAUGGUCCCGUUACAAGUGGUCUGUGUUUUAUUCAUCAUAGAUAUUAUUAGCCGCAUCAGGUUUUAUCUUGCUCGUCUUUGAAAUAUCAAUUGGUUUUCAACUAAAACUGCAUUUUCCUGUUAAGCGCAGGUUUCUUCAGAUGAAAGCGUAGACUGGGGUCCGAACAAGGUGUUCUUUUUUUAACUGGCCCAGGCACAUUGUUUUAUUGAAGGUGAGCUAUGGUCUCCUACCCGCCUUACUUGUCACAGACAUUAUUUGCUGCCCUAGAUUUUUCUUCUCUUUUGAAAUGUCAGUUGGUUUUCAACUAAAUAUGCAUUUUCCCUGGCAAUUGCAGGUUUUCUGCAUGUAAAGUGCAAGAUGGAGCUUAGACAAGUUUUUGUUUCGUUAAUUGCCUGAGGCCCAAAGCACGGUGUUUUACUGGAAGUGAGCUGUGGUCUGUGUCCUAUUUGUCACGGACAUUACUUGCUGUGUCAGAUAUUUCAUGCCUCUCUCCUGCAAUGUCAAUUGGUUUUCAACUAAAACUACAUUUUCUGUGAUUAGCGCAGGUCUCCUCGGAGGAAAACAUUAGGCGCCGAGAUGUGCUGGCCUUCCCUUAUGGUCCAGACCAGUUGUUUUCAUCAAGGGAGCAUUGAGAUAGCCCUUCACCUCGGAAGAAGUACCCAUAAACGAAUUUUAGAUAUAAUAAAGAGCUAUUACAAUU